AGUGAACGCUGGCGGUAGGCCUAACACAUGCAAGUCGAACGGCAGCACAGUAAGAGCUUGCUCUUACGGGUGGCGAGUGGCGGACGGGUGAGGAAUACAUCGGAAUCUACUUUUUCGUGGGGGAUAACGUAGGGAAACUUACGCUAAUACCGCAUACGACCUCCGGGUGAAAGCAGGGGAUCUUCGGACCUUGCGCGAUUGAAUGAGCGGAUGUCGGAUUAGCUAGUUGGCGGGGUAAAGGCCCACCAAGGCGACGAUCCGUAGCUGGUCUGAGAGGAUGAUCAGCCACACUGGAACUGAGACACGGUCCAGACUCCUACGGGAGGCAGCAGUGGGGAAUAUUGGACAAUGGGCGCAAGCCUGAUCCAGCCAUACCGCGUGGGUGAAGAAGGCCUUCGGGUUGUAAAGCCCUUUUGUUGGGAAAGAAAAGCAGCAGGUUAAUACCCCGCUGUUCUGACGGUACCCAAAGAAUAAGCACCGGCUAACUUCGUG
rnacentral:rRNA from 1 species